GGGGAUUUAGCUCAGUGGUAGAGCGCUUGCCUAACAAGUGCAAGGCCCUGGGUUCGGUCCCCAGCUCCG
rfam:Rattus norvegicus chromosome 12, whole genome shotgun sequence.